AACGAACGCUGGCGGCAGGCCUAACACAUGCAAGUCGAACGCCCCGCAAGGGGAGUGGCAGACGGGUGAGUAACGCGUGGGAACCUUCCCAAUGGUACGGAAUAGCUCAGGGAAACUUGGGGUAAUACCGUAUAUUCCCGUGAGGGGAAAGAUUUAUCGCCAUUGGAUGGGCCCGCGUCGGAUUAGCUAGUUGGUGAGGUAACGGCUCACCAAGGCGACGAUCCGUAGCUGGUUUGAGAGAAUGACCAGCCACACUGGGACUGAGACACGGCCCAGACUCCUACGGGAGGCAGCAGUGGGGAAUAUUGGACAAUGGGCGCAAGCCUGAUCCAGCCAUGCUGCGUGAGUGACGAAGGCCUUAGGGUUGUAAAGCUCUUUUGCCGGGGAAGAUAAUGACGGUACCCGGAGAAUAAGUCCCGGCUAACUUCGUGCCAGCCGCCGCGGUAA
rnacentral:rRNA from 1 species